UAAGUUUCAAGUAUACAAUUCUAUAAUACUUCAUCUGUAAUUGCAUUGUGUUCUCACCACUCAAAGUCAGUUUCCUU